CCUACGGGAGGCUGCAGUGGGGGAUAUUGCACAAUGGGGGGAACUCUGAUGCAGCGACGCCGCGUAGGUGAAGGAGUUCUUCGGCAUGUAAAGUACUAUCGGCAGGGAAGAAGCAAGACGGUACCUGACUAAGAAGCCCCGGCUAACUACGUGCCAGCAGCCGCGGUAAUACGUAGGGAGCGAGCGUUAUCCGGAUUCAAUGGGUGUAAAGGGUGCGUAGACGGGAAAGUAAGCUAGGGGUGAAAGCCCGGGGCCCAACCUCGGGACUGCCCUUGAAACUACAUGGCUGGAGUGCGGGAGGGGCAAGGGGAAUUCCUAGUGUAGCGGUGAAAUGCGUAGAUAGUAGGAGGAACACCAGCGGCGAAGGCGACUUGCUGGACCGUAACUGACGUUGAGGCACGAAAGUGUGGGGAGCGAACAGGAUUAGAUACCCGGGUAGUC
rnacentral:rRNA from 1 species